rnacentral:misc_RNA from 1 species
AGCUGGAUCAUUUUUCCGAUCACACCUUGAAAAAAAAAAAACAUAUCUCUUCUUUCCUUCUUCUCUUCUCCUCUCUUUACUGAGUUGAGAAAGAGAAAAGGAACAGAGCAGAACACACAAAACAAGCGCAGCAGAAAAUUUACUUUUUCGCCUGCCCUGCCUUCUCUUUUCAAACAAAGAAAAGAAAAAAGCACGCCAAGUAUUUAUACUUGGUGUGGGGCAGAACCUAAAACGUGUCGCGAUGGAUGACUUGGCUUCCCAUAUCUGUGAAGAACGCAGCAAAGUGCGAUAAGUGGUAUGAAUUGCAGAAUCUCUCCAUUACUUAAUCUUUGAACGCAAAAGGCGCUCGGGAGAAGUCCUUCUGGACCAUCCCCGUGCAUGCCGUAUUGCUCAGUGUCGAAAAACAACCUUUCAAAAAAUCUUGAAGGUUUCUCGAAGUUGUAGAAAGAAUUCUCUUUACUGAGUUUUCCUUCUCUGCAAUUCGGGGAUUGGGUGUUCCUUUUGUUGGAAACGGCAAAAACAAAGCAUCCAAUUCAAAAUUCAAAACCAAAAAAUUGGUACAACCAAAGAAAGCCUCAAAAACUUCUUUUGUGUUUGUCACACAAUUUUUUUUACGGACCUGAGUGCGGCAGGACGACCCGCUAAACUUAAGCAUAUUGCUCAGCGGAGGAAAAGAAAACAACCGUGAUUCCCUUAGUCAGCGGCGAGCGAACAGGGAUCCAACUCGAUGCCGAAUCGGGUCUCAAGGACCUUGAGUUGUGGCACGACUGCCCCAUGACUGGUUACGGAAGUGGCAAAAUUCAAUGUGCAAAGCAAACCCUGUUGAACACAACCCUUCAUGUGAGUAUUGAGCCAUAGGAGGUGAAAGCCCAUUCCAGCCACAAAUCCAAAGCCUCAUUGGGUGGAUCAAGAGAGUAGCACUGCUUGGGAAUGCAGUGUCAAGCGGCAGGUAUGUGUCUGCCAAAGUUAAAUACAAAAUGGGAAGACCGAUAGCAAACAAGUAGCGUGAGCGAAAGUUUGAAAAGCACUUUGGAAAGAGAGUGACAUAGAACCUGAAGUCGUGACAAUGACAAUGAACGUGCCUCCAUUUUUGUCAAGGCCAGCCCUGCAGCAUUAUCCGUUGUUCCACCUUCGGGUGCCAACUUCGGUCAAACAAGUGUUGGAAGGGGACUGGAGCAAAGAGCCGAGGUAAAGGGCGGAGUUUUGCCUAGCAAUGAACCCGUUCUUCUCGGUAGACUCAGCGACUUGACGCUCUGGAAAUGGGGUACCUUCACCCGUCUUGAAACACGGACCAAGGAGUCAAACAGACACGCAAGAGGGAAGAUAUUGUUGCCAGUACUUCUCUCGAACUGAAAGGGAUGCUUUUUGCAUUGGUGUGCACACAAGAACUGCCCAACACCGACCGCCCUUCUUUUAGGGUGAGUCUGAGUGUGCCUGUUUGGACCCGAAAGGUGGUGAACUAUGCCUGAACAAGAUGAAGUCCGGGGAAACUCGGAUGGAGGUCUGUAGCGGUGCUGACGUGCAAAUCGCUCGCAUGAUUUGGGUAUCGGAGCGAAAGACUCAUCGAACCACCUAGUAGCUGGUUCACAU